rnacentral:miRNA from 1 species
CCUGUGCUUGCCUCUUCCAUU